rnacentral:rRNA from 1 species
CACGUAGGCGGAUUGUUAAGUCGGGGGUGAAAUCCUGGAGCUCAACUCCAGAACUGCCUUCGAUACUGGGAAUCUCGAGUCCGGGAGAGGUGAGUGGAACUGCGAGUGUAGAGGUGAAAUUCGUAGAUAUUCGCAAGAACACCAGUGGCGAAGGCGGCUCACUGGCCCGGUACUAACGCUGAGGUGCGAAAGCGUGGGGAGCGAAACAGGAUUAGAUACCCUGGUAGUCCACGCCGUAAACUAUGGAUGCUAGCCGUUGGCGAGCUUGCUCGUCAGUGGCGCAGCUAACGCUUUAAGCAUCCCGCCGUGGGGAGUACGGUCGCAAGAAUUAAA